UACGGAGGGGGCGAGCGUUAUUCGGAAUUAUUGGGCGUAAAGGGCGCGUAGGCGGCCUUGCAAGUCAAAGGUGAAAUCCCUCAGCUCAACUGAGGAACUGCCUUUGAAACUGCACGGCUUGAGGCCGGGAGGGGGUAGCGGAAUUCCCAGUGUAGCGGUGAAAUGCGUAGAUAUUGGGAGGAACACCGAUGGCGAAGGCAGCUUGCUGGGACGGUACUGACGCUGAGACGCGAAAGCGUGGGGAGCAAACAGG
rnacentral:rRNA from 1 species